rnacentral:rRNA from 1 species
UACAGAGGGGGCAAGCGUUGUUCGGAAUUACUGGGCGUAAAGGGCGCGUAGGCGGCCCGCUAAGUCGAACGUGAAAUCCCCGAGCUCAACUCGGGAACUGCGUCCGAUACUGGUGGGCUUGAAUCCGGGAGAGGGAUGCGGAAUUCCGAGUGUAGAGGUGAAAUUCGUAGAUAUUCGGAAGAACACCAGUGGCGAAGGCGGCGAUCUGGGAAGAUACUGACGCUGAGGUGCGAAAGCGUGGGGAGCAAACAGGG